AAAUAUAUACAAAAUAUAGUUUAAAAAAAAAUAAUAAUUUUGGAGAUUAAAGUUAUAAA
rnacentral:tRNA from 1 species